UACGUAGGGGGCAAGCGUUGUCCGGAAUCAUUGGGCGUAAAGCGCGCGCAGGCGGCCCGGUAAGUCCGUUGUGAAAGUCAAAGGCUCAACCUUUGAACGCCGAUGGAUACUGCCGGGCUAGAGUCCGGAAGAGGCGAGUGGAAUUCCUGGUGUAGCGGUGGAAUGCGCAGAUAUCAGGAGGAACCCCAAUAGCGAAGGCAGCUCGCUGGGACGGUACUGACGCUAAGGCGCGAAAGCGUGGGGAGCGAACAGG
rnacentral:rRNA from 1 species